rnacentral:rRNA from 1 species
CCUACGGGAGGCAGCAGUGGGGAAUAUUGCGCAAUGGGCGAAAGCCUGACGCAGCGACGCCGCGUGAGGGAUGAAGGUCUUAGGAUCGUACAACUCUGUCAGCAGGGAAGCACGGUCACUGUGCUAAUCAGCAGUGAAUUGACGGUACCUGCAAAGGAAGCACCGGCUACCUCCGUGCCAGCAGCCGCGGUAAUACGGAGGGUGCGAGCGUUAAUCGGAAUUACUGGGAGUAAAGCGCUCGUAGGCGGUAUGUCAAGUCAAGGGUGAAAUCCCCGCGCUCAACGUGGGAACUGCCUUUGAAACUGGCAAACUGGAGUGUGUGAGAGGAUAGUGGAAUGCCAGGUGUAGGAGUGAAAUGCGUAGAUAUCUGGAGGAACAUCAGUGGCGAAGGCGACUAUCUGGCACAUAACUGACGCUGAGGAGCGAAAGCGUGGGUAGCAAACAGGAUUAGAUACCCUGGUAGUC